UACGUAGGGUCCGAGCGUUGUCCGGAAUUAUUGGGCGUAAAGGGCUCGUAGGCGGUCUGUUGCGUCGGGAGUGAAAACUUACAGCUUAACUGUGAGCGUGCUUCCGAUACGGGCAGACUUGAGGUAUUCAGGGGAGAACGGAAUUCCUGGUGUAGCGGUGAAAUGCGCAGAUAUCAGGAGGAACACCGGUGGCGAAGGCGGUUCUCUGGGCAUGUCCUGACGCUGAGGAGCGAAAGUGUGGGGAGCGAACAGG
rnacentral:rRNA from 1 species